GGACUACCCGGGUUUCUAAUCCCAUUCGCUCCCCUAGCUUUCGUUCCUCAGCGUCAGUUACAGCCCAGCAAGCCGCUUGCGCCACCGGUGUUCUUCCAGAUAUCUACGCAUUUCACCGCUACACCUGGAAUUCCGCUUGCCUCUACUGCACUCCAGUCCGUCAGUAUCCAGUGCACUCCCGGGGUUGGGCCCCGAUCUUUAACACCAGACUUAACGAACCACCUACGAACUCUUUACGCCCAAUAAAUCCGGACAACGCUCGCAUCCUACGUCUUACCGCGGCGGCUGGCAC
rnacentral:rRNA from 1 species